UCCAAUAAAAAAACCUUCCCCCUUUAGAACCUUUAGAAUCAGCACUCAUGGAAUAAUCAUGGAUUUUUGUUGAGGAGAUAAAAUCGUGAUGUGACCAUCGUAUUCUCUCUCACAGCUCACAACGAUGAAAUCGCACAGGGCUUCGUUGAUUUCUGUCAACUCCGACCACGACCAGUGUCGGUAUGAUUAGACGGUUUGGAUGCGCCUAAUAAACAAACCUAAUUUGCCUCGCGCUUUCAGUCAUCACCUUCCUUCGUCUAAAACCUCACGCAGAGACAGAGCUCCCCCAAAACCCUAAACGCCCAAAGUAUUAAUCACAAAGCUACGGAGCUGAAAUUGCAAACGCUAUCCAUGGCUCGCUUCAAAAAUAAGAAGGUGUUUGUGAAGUCAGUUUCGACGAAGAAGCUGGCUAAUAUGGACCAUAUCACAGGGGAUAAAAUCCCAAGGAGCUUAGCGAAAUGUAUGUCUUCUGUUGGUGGAUUCUGUAUCAAAUUUGUUGUUGGUUUGUUUUCUUAAAGGUUGAUCUGGAUGAAGUGAAUGCCCUGGCUUAACUCAUGACCUGGAAGACUGCUAUGGCCGACAUUCCAUAUGGUGGAGCCAAGGGUGGAAUCGGAUGCACCCCCAGGGACUUAAGUUUGAGCGAGUUGGAGUAUCUGACUCGCGUCUUUGCUCAGAAAAUCCAUGGCCUCAUUGGAACUCAUACUGAUGUUCCCGCACCCGAUAUGGGCACCAAUGUUCAGACCAUGGCAUGGAUGUUGGAUGAGUACUCCAAAUUUCAUAGUCACUCACCAGCUGUUGUCAUUGGAAAGCCCAUCAUAAGAAUUCGACACUGAGAAAAUUAAGCCAAAAAUCGGUUUCCUGGAGUUGAAAAGCACUGAUUGCAUUAAAAAAAGGUUCCCAGUUAAUCAAGUAUAGCCGGAAAGGGAAGCCAAAACUUCGUCCAUUCAGAAUUUCUACUAAUUUGAGAAGGUGGUUGUGGUUUUCGUGCAAUCGCCGUUAUGCAGCUCAGACCAUCACGAUUCACCAUUGUCACCCCAUCACUGCCGUCGCGACCACCGCCGCCACAUCACCUCUGUCGAAAACACUAAGUAAUUUGUGAAUUAGGGUUUUUUUUAUUUUGUGAAUUUCUGGUUUAGGGAUUUAGGGUUUUUGAGUUAGUUUUUGUGAAGGUCAUUGUUUGAUUUUAGGCACGCUAUAAUCGAUUACAAGUUUUCGGAUCCUAAACACUUUGAAAGGGUUUCCAGAAAAGACAAAUUUCCAAAGGCGAGUAGUGACACUGUCAAUUUCCUCAACCAAUCUUCACUGGAAUUUUCUCCGUCAUCCUAUAUAUUUCAGCAUUAACACAUUUGAUAAGAAAUUUUGUUUCUGGUCACUAAAGAUGGCAGGAAAAUGGACACAAUAAAUUAUCCAUGGUCUUUAUCAU